GUUCUCUCGUGCCAAGCCCAGGUGAUUACCACCCCCCCACGUUAUCCAUUACCUCCCCCCUCCUCCUCCUCCUCCUCCUCGGUACCGACAGACCGACAAAUCCCCUCCCGGUGCUCUCUCCCCCCUCCUCUCAUCCCCCCUCCCCUCCCCUCCCCUCCCCUCUCUCUCUGUCUCCUUCCCCGCCAGCCAUGAUCCGUGGCGGGCUAAUUCCCAGACGGUCUUCUCCUCCUUCCUCCUCCUUCCUCCUCCUCCUCUUCUCCUCAUCACCCUCCUCCUCCUCCUCCUCCUCCUCCUCCUCGCGGGCCCGAUCAAAUCGAGUCGACCACACGGGACUGACCACGCACCCACUUCAUUCGUGAGCAAGCGUGUCUGUGUGUUGCGUGUGCGCGCAAGCGCAUGUGUGCGCGCAAGUGUGCGAGGUCAUGUCGGGCAUGACGAGCGGCAUGUGUGUGGAGAGCGACCUCUCCUCGAUGCUCCAGAGAAGCUCCGCCCCCUCCCACCAUCACCCAAAUCACCACGUGUACGGCGGACAGACGCAGGUGAGUCGUCUCCGAGGUCACGUGAACGGACUUUACGCAGUUUUACUCUCACAGCUUCUCUCAACCACGUCAUUCUCCGAGAAACAGCUGUAAACAGAUGAUAGUGUGAACGUAGUGGAGCACUUAGAUCCAGAUGUUCCCCUCCGGAGGAAGUGGAGACCAAACACCGAGCCAGAAGAGAGGGAACACGGGCCUGACAUCCAUACGUGGUCGAGGGCCACCAUGAAGGUCAUGAAUUACAGAUUCAAUGGAGCCUCGAAGGAACACACGGGCAACAACAGGGUCCAGAUAAAACAAUAUAUGUAACUGGACUGGAGCCUACUGGAAUUUGUGCCGAUUCGGUCGGUGGUCCAGUCACCUGCCCUUCCUCAGAAUCGUUGCCUGUCUUGGUGGAGGUCUUGUUGAGGCUCUGAGGUCACCAGAUUUCUGGGUUUACAGUGGAGUAGACUCUGGCUUGACGAAUGGCGAUCCUUGACCUUCCAGUUGCCUCAUUUCAGUUCCUCAAUCGCCCCGUGGCUGUUGCCAGAGCCCGGAUGUUCGCUACACAGUCUAGAGAUGAAGAGUGAGGAAACGUGGGAAAACCAAAGGUCCAACUGACUGACAGAUGGUACUGACGACCCUGGAGCGCUGCCACUAGCAAGAUUAGAAAUCUCAAGUUCCCUCUGGUAUUUUUCUUUGGAAAUUAAAGCAGGUCUUGGUGAGAAUUUCCAGGAAACACCCGAAUCGUACCGCUCGUAGCCAUAGUUGAAUAAUUCCGCCCUGGGAAUCAUUGGUCCAUCAUUGGUUCCAGUUUGUGUAAACGACAUU
rnacentral:lncRNA from 1 species